CUGUAAGGCUGUUGAUCGUUAUUUUAUUACCGUUAUUCAGUGAGACUCUUUCGCUCUCGGUACGAUGCAUACCACCAGGCAGUGCAAAGGCAAUUGCAAGAGAAUCAAAUCAUAAUGAUAUAAAAAGUCAUGAUAACGAUGCUGAUGAUGGUGAUAUUAAUACGAGUAGUGAUUACAAUUCUUUUUAUAGCGCUGAACAUGAUAAAAGUAUAAAGUCAAGAAGAUAUGAUAUUGAUGAACCAGGAAUAAAACGCAGACAGAAAACUUUUAUUCGAAAUCCCAACUAUAAUUCCGCCAAUAAGGAAUUUGAUAGACUUUUUAAAAAUAUGUACAUAACGGAAUUACCUUUACCGCAUCCUGGAGCCCAGCCAGGCAGCACCAAUGGCUGUGAGAAAAUUGAAGAAAAAUAAUAUCUAUAGCAUCGGACGAAUAUAACCCAGCUUUUCAAAUUGAUAGAAAUUUUAUAAUAAUCAAAUUAAGGUGUACAUCUCUCUCAGCAGAUGAGCUAUCGUAUGAGCAUUAUUAAUUUAAACUGACAUACAUAAUGAUAUGUGAAAUGCACAUGCAAAUAACGUAAACAUGCCAAAUUUCAAAAAUAAAUAAACACACAACAAAUUAAUUAAAUUAGCAACAGU